rnacentral:rRNA from 1 species
AUGCUGGCGGCGUGCCUAACACAUGCAAGUCGAGCGGCAGCGAGUUUUACACUGAAUUCUGGAAGCUUCUGGGUAAUAUAGAAGAUCUAUUCAAGAAUUUUGUGUAAAAUGUCGGCGAGCGGCGGACGGCUGAGUAACGCGUAGGAAUUUGCCCCAAAGUGAGGAAUAACUGCCCGAAAGGGUAGCUAAUGCCGCAUAUGGUCUUCGGAUUAAAGCCUUCGGGCGCUUUGGGAGAAGCCUGCGUUGGAUUAGGUAGUUGGUAGGGUAAUGGCCUACCAAGCCGACGAUCCAUAGCUGGUCUGUGAGGAUGAUCAGCCAGACUGGAACUGAGACACGGUCCAGACUCCUACGGGAGGCAGCAGUGAGGAAUCUUCCACAAUGGGCGAAAGCCUGAUGGAGCAACGCCGCGUGAAGGAUGAAGGCCUUCGGGUUGUAAACUUCUUUUAUGAGUGAAGAAUAUGACGGUAACUCAUGAAUAAGCACCGGCUAACUACGUGCCAGCAGCCGCGGUCAUACGUAGGGUGCAAGCAUUAUCCGGAGUGACUGGGCGUAAAGAGUUGCGUAGGCGGUUUAAUAAGUGAAUAGUGAAACCUGGUGGCUCAACCAUACAGACUAUUAUUCAAACUGUUAAACUCGAGAAUGGUAGAGGUAACUGGAAUUUCUAGUGUAGGAGUGAAAUCCGUAGAUAUUAGAAGGAACACCGAUGGCGUAGGCAGGUUACUGGGCCAUUUCUGACGCUAAGGCACGAAAGCGUGGGGAGCGAACCCGAUUAGAUACCCGGGUAGUCCACGCCGUAAACGAUGGAUACUAGCUGUUGGAGGUAUCGACCCCUUCAGUAGCGAAGCUAACGCGUUAAGUAUCCCGCCUGUGGAGUGCGGCCGCAAGGCUAAAACAUAAAGGAAUUGACGGG